CUCUGUAAUAAAUGUUAAAUCACUGGAAGCCUUUCCUGUUUAAACAGCACUGGAUGCAUCUCUGCCUGUAUUAUGAUACAUUUCCAUGUUAUUAUAUAUUCCCAGAUGUCAUUCCCAGAGCUUUACAAGCUGCUCCAGAUUGCAGGCUGCGUUUCCCACCCAGCUGCCAUGGGGCCGUGCCACCAGGGUGAAUAAUUCACCUACGUUCAGAGCACACGCCUUUACAAAGCUCUCUGUGAUUGCACUGGGCACUGUGGGAUGUAUAAAUGCAAAGAAGCCCCUGGAAAGCCCUUGGUUUAAUCUCUCGCAGUCCGUGCAGCAUUCCACGCAUCCUGGGGCCGUGGUGGAAUGAAUCCUGAAUGCUGACAUUUGUUUUGACACAUCAUCUCCCUGCAUCCCUGCCCCACGCUGCCGCGUCUUCAGCUCUUUACACGCCGCACCUGGGUCUGCACGUCUGAGAUUGGAGCUGAGGUCAUUAACCAAGUAUGUGAACUGCCUAUUUUCAAAUGAAUAGCACAUGGACUCAAUCUCUGGGCUCUCGGGCAGAAGUUCAAAAAAAUAGAGAUAUAAAACUGGGGUGAUUUACUGGGCCUUCCCUAGGCUGCAAUGAUUAAUUGUCUGAUUCACUGGUUCCUUUUUACUCUUAUGUUGAAACUUAUGUGAGAAAAUUAAAGGGAGUAUAGCAAAACUGGUUAUCUCCAAUGCCUUUGUCAUAUUGCUAAGUAGGAAAAAAUGAUACCGUGAUGAACAAAUGUUAGAUAUUAACCUUCUGAUUGCUUUCUAUGUGGCAAGGAGAGAUGCAAGCUGCACCCACCUGAUGUUCACCAGCUCUGUGUUAAACACACAAAGGAUGCAGUGUACUGUUAUGGGUAAAGAAAUGGGUUAAAUAAUCUUUUUACAUGAUCAGAAAUGGGCAGAACAGGAAAAAUGCCCAAGGCAUUGGACUCUGAGAGGACACUAUUGGCGCUGCUGUGAGUAAGCAGCUCUGGGAAAACCUGUGUGCAGC
rnacentral:lncRNA from 1 species